rnacentral:lncRNA from 1 species
UCAAGAGCCGCAAGAAGCUGCUGCAGAUCAUCGACACCACGCUGCUCAAGUGCUACCUGCACACCAACGUGGCGCUGGUGUCUCCGCUGCUGCGCCUGGAGAACAACCACUGCCACGUGGAGGAGAGCGAGUACGUCCUGAAGAGGGCGCACAAGUACAGCGAGCUCAUCAUCCUGUACGAGAAGAAGGGCCUGCACCAGAAGGCUCUGCAGGUCCUGCUGGAUCAGUCCACCAAGGCCAACUCUCCUCUGAAGGGACGAG